GAUGAACGCUGGCGGCGUGCUUAACACAUGCAAGUCGAACGAUGAUGCCCAGCUUGCUGGGUGGAUUAGUGGCGAACGGGUGAGUAACACGUGAGUAACCUGCCCUUGACUCUGGGAUAAGCCUGGGAAACUGGGUCUAAUACCGGAUACGACCAUCUGGCGCAUGUCAUGGUGGUGGAAAGCUUUUGUGGUUUUGGAUGGACUCGCGGCCUAUCAGCUUGUUGGUGGGGUAAUGGCCUACCAAGGCGACGACGGGUAGCCGGCCUGAGAGGGUGACCGGCCACACUGGGACUGAGACACGGCCCAGACUCCUACGGGAGGCAGCGGUGGGGAAUAUUGCACAAUGGGCGCAAGCCUGAUGCAGCGACGCCGCGUGAGGGAUGACGGCCUUCGGGUUGUAAACCUCUUUCAGUAGGGAAGAAGCGAAAGUGACGGUACCUGCAGAAGAAGCGCCGGCUAACUACGUG
rnacentral:rRNA from 1 species